GAUGAACGCUGGCGGCGUGCCUAAUACAUGCAAGUCGAGCGAACAGACGAGGAGCUUGCUCCUCUGACGUUAGCAGCGGACGGGUGAGUAACACGUGGAUAACCUACCUAUAAGACUGGGAUAACUUCGGGAAACCGGAGCUAAUACCGGAUAAUAUAUUGAACCGCAUGGUUCAAUAGUGAAAGACGGUUUUGCUGUCACUUAUAGAUGGAUCCGCGCCGCAUUAGCUAGUUGGUAAGGUAACGGCUUACCAAGGCAACGAUGCGUAGCCGACCUGAGAGGGUGAUCGGCCACACUGGAACUGAGACACGGUCCAGACUCCUACGGGAGGCAGCAGUAGGGAAUCUUCCGCAAUGGGCGAAAGCCUGACGGAGCAACGCCGCGUGAGUGAUGAAGGUCUUCGGAUCGUAAAACUCUGUUAUUAGGGAAGAACAAAUGUGUAAGUAACUAUGCACGUCUUGACGGUACCUAAACAGAAAGCCACGGCUAACUACGUG
rnacentral:rRNA from 1 species